GCCCGGCUAGCUCAAUCGGUAGAGCGUGUGACUCUUAUGAUUGCAAGAUCUUCUGGUCCAUCACAAGGUUGCGGGUUCGACCCCCGCGUUGGGCU